rnacentral:rRNA from 1 species
CGAGCGUCAGCUUAAAACCCAAAAGACUUGGCGGUGCCCUAUACCACCUAGAGGAGCCUGUUCUAUAAUCGAUAAUCCCCGAUCAACCUCACCAUCUCUUGCCAAUACCGCCUGUAUACCUCCGUCGUCAACUGACCCCUUAAGGGAAAUAGUUGGUUUAAUGGCUUAUCACCAGAAAGUCAGGUCAAGGUGCAGCGUAUGAGAUGGGAAGAAAUGGGCUACAUUUUCUACCCUUAGACUACACGGAGAAUCACUAUGAAAUCUGAUUGAAAGGCGGAUUUAGCAGUAAAAAGAGAUUAGAGUGCUCUUUUUAAGUUGGCCCUAGGGCGCGCACACACCGCCCGUCACCCUCUUCGACUCCAUAUUUUUAUAUUUAUAAUUUCCCACUUAGGAGAAUAGAAGAGGCAAGUCGUAACAUGGUAAGUCCACCGGAAGGUGGACUUGG